rnacentral:tRNA from 1 species
GCUGAGCAUGUGGCUCAAUGGUAGAGCACUUGCCUAGCAUGUGCAAGGCCUAGGUUCAAUCCCCAGCACAGUA